AGUGAACGCUGGCGGUAGGCCUAACACAUGCCAGUCGAACGGCAGCACAGUAAGAGCUUGCUCUUACGGGUGGCGAGUGGCGGACGGGUGAGGAAUACAUCGGAAUCUACUUUUUCGUGGGGGAUAACGUAGGGAAACUUACGCUAAUGCCGCAUACGACCUACGGGUGAAAGCAGGGGAUCUUCGGACCUUGCGCGAUUGAAUGAGCCGAUGUCGGAUUAGCUAGUUGGCGGGGUAAAGGCCCACCAAGGCGACGAUCCGUAGCUGGUCUGAGAGGAUGAUCAGCCACACUGGAACUGAGACACGGUCCAGACUCCUACGGGAGGCAGCAGUGGGGAAUAUUGGACAAUGGGCGCAAGCCUGAUCCAGCCAGACCGCGUGGGUGAAGAAGGCCUUCGGGUUGUAAAGCCCUUUUGUUGGGAAAGAAAAGCAGCAGGUUAAUACCCCGCUGUCCUGACGGUACCCAAAGAAUAAGCACCGGCUAACUUCGU
rnacentral:rRNA from 1 species